UUUCUGCAUUUUUUCACUUUUUAAAAGUAAUUUAUUUAACAAAACAAAUUGAAGUCAGACAGUUGAAUUUCGUUAUAGUGGCUUGCCUACAGCAAAGUUGAUACCUAAUCAAUAAAAAUAUUAAUGUACCAAUCAUAGGAGGAGAAUAUUUCCUUUAUGUAAAGGCUCAGAAUGAAGCUCUAAUUAAGAUAUGCCUUUACAUCCACUUCCACCCAAAGUUUCUUUGAAAUGGCAGAAUAAAUGUAAAAAUCAAUCCGCAGCAGCACUGGAAACUGGAGGAGUGGAAUCAGCAUUGAGGAACUUGUUGUUAAAUAAUAAUAUCCCACAGGUGGAAUAAGAUUAAAUGUACAGUCCAACUGAGCAAAAGACCCCAAAACACAAAUAUAACAGACAAAACUGCUGAAACGAUGAGUUAAGCAGAACCAUGGAAAAAACCCCAGGAUCACAGACAGUGAAGACUGGGAACAGACUCUGGGGCAGUCAGCAGGGUAAUUAAUUAAAUGGCUUGGAAUAGCUGAACCAGUUCCCUAGUCUUCAGAGCUGCUGGCUCAGGCAUAUCCUCCUAUGCUGGAGCCAGGAAAAUACCUCUCUAAAGGAACUACAUGAACUGUCACUAGAUACCCCUAGAGUCAUCAUUGGGCUAGAAAGAGAAGUAAGGCAAUGCUCUAAGUAACUUCCAUCAUCCCAACAGACAGAGAAAUCCUUGGGGAAAACUUAAAUGAUUGGACAUUUUCCUCUUUUUCUUUUUGUGUCUCUCCAGACACUUUUGUCUCUUUAUGAAUUUCAACUCCCUUUUUCUAACUACUUCUUACGUACUCUUUAUUUUCCUGCAAUGAAAAUUAUAAUUUACCUAACUAUACCUAUAAUUUAUAAAAAUCAACAAUGUGCUAAUGUACUGUAGAGGAGAAAUAAGAGGGAGGUGAUUUAUAAUAAAAUUAUAUAUAUUUCAAAACAUAAAUGCUUUAGUACAGCUAUACUAGGAUAUAUAAUGUAGUCAUCAGAUGCCUGCACCUAAACAGAGAAUCACCACAAAUGUGGCAACCAUGAAUGUAGACUGAUACAGGAACAUUGUGUUGUCAUUUUAAAUAGCAUGAGCAGAUUGUCAUCAGUAAUGUCCAAAUGAUUGUCCAAAAUGGUGACCAAUGGUAAAGUUCUGAAGAGAAGAAAGUAAAAUCUUCCAUUAAUUUAUAUAGUAGGUACAAGCCUGGGAAAUUUAAUGUAUAUUAAAACUAUGCAAAAAUAUUUGGAGUUUAUCUAAAAAUGGAAUUUUGUUCCAGAUUUUAGUAAUUACAAACAGAUUUUUUACCACCAUAAAUAUCUAGUAGGACAUUUAAACAUUAUACAGGACACAGAACAAUUCUUUGUUGCACAGGACCGUUCAGUGUAUCCAAUAAUGAUAGGAUGUUUAGCAUUCCUAGUACCCUUUCACUAAAUGCCAAAAAUAUCCCCAAACACUGUGACAAUAGAUAAUGCCUCACAAAUUUCCAAAAAUGCCCCCUAGGUGCAAUACCAUUCUUAGUGGGAACCUCUAUUGUUGAUCCUUAUUUAAAAUAUGAACCAACAACCAAGAAUCACCUAAUAAUGGUCCAGGGGGAGAAGAACUGCAUAACAGGGAGAUUCUGAAGAGAGAGAAAAAAAGUCUUUAAUUAAAUAAAGAUAAUGUAAUAUUCUGAAGAUAGCUAUAUUAUAUUCUUGAAAUAAAAUGAAGUUAUUAUCCUUAAAGAGAAUCAAUGACACAUUGCAUUCAUAACACAAGAAGUAGUUGCAUGCAAGAAAGCAUUUUUUUUUUUAAGACAUGGUCUUGCUUUAUUACCCAGGCUGGAGUGCAGUGGCUCGAUCUCAGCUCAUUGCAACCUCCUCCUCCCCGAUCCCCCAUCACUCCCACCCCUAGGUUCAGGUGUCUCAGCCUCUCAGGUAGCUGAGACCACAGGUGUACAUCACCAUGCCUGGCAUUUUUUUAUUUUUAGUAGAGACAGGGUCUCUCCAUGUUGCCCAGGCCUGGUCUUGAACUCCUGGACUGAAGCAAUCCACCCACCUCAGCCUCACAAAGUGUUGGGAUUAAAGCCAUGAGCCACCACACCCGGCCAGAAAAGAGCUUUUAAAAAGUAUUUUACAUCUCCUUUUUCACUAAAUGAAGAUAUUACUCAAAAAAGUUGUUUGAUUAUUAAAUAAUAUAAUUUAUUUGAAGCACCUACCUAUCACAUUCCUAGCACAAAAAACAUACUCGGGAAUAAGUUUUGAAUUGUGGUUGAACUAUGUACAUAGCACUUUUUUAAAAAUAAGCUGUUCCAUUUACCAUUGCUGCAGAACAAAUCAACCCAAAAGUUAAUGGCUUAAACCAACAAUUUAGUAUUGUCUCUCAUGGUCCUUUUGGUUAAUUGCGCUCAGCUAGGCAGCUCAUGUUAGAGCACUCUCACGUGGUUGCAGUCAGAUGUCUGUUGGGGAUGCAAUAUCUGAUGACUCUACUGGGCUGGACAUCUAAGAUGGGAGCUCAUCUGUGGCUAUCAACUGGAACACCUACCUAUAUUUGGCCUCCCUAGCAUGGUGACCUCAAGGUAGUUGAAUUUCUUAUGUGGUGGCUCAAGGCUCCAGCAUAGGUGUUUCAGUGAACAAGACAAAAGCUGUAUCACCUUUUAUGACCCAGCCUCAGAAGUCACACAGCCUCGCUUUCACCAUAUUCUAUUCAUCAAUGCAAAUUUGAGGGGAUGGGACUUAGACUCCACCCGUGUAUGGGAAAGUGACAAGGUCUCUUUAUAGAAGAGCAUAUAGUCAGAAGUUAUUAUUGUGGCCAUCUUUGGAGAAUAAUAUGUGAUACAUUACUGGGUCAAAUGGUAUUUCUAGUUCUAGAUCCCUGAGGAAUCGCCACACUGACUUCCACAAUGGUUGAACUAGUUUACAGUCCCACCAACAGUGUAAAAGUGUUCCUAUUUCUCCACAUCCUCUCCAGCACCUGUUGUUUCCUGACUUUUUAAUGAUUGCCAUUCUAACUGGUGUGAGAUGGUAUCUCAUUGUGGUUUUGCUUUGCAUUUCUCUGAUGGCCAGUGAUGGUGAGCAUUUUUUCAUGUGUUUUUUGGCUGCAUAAAUGUCUUCUUUAGAGAAGUGUCUGUUCAUGUCCUUUGCCCACUUUUUGAUGGGGUUGUUUGCUUUUUUCUUGUAAAUUUGUUUGAAUUCAUUGUAGAUUCUGGAUAUUAGCCCUUUGUCAGAUGAGUAGGUUGCGAAAAUUUUCUCCCAUUUUGUAGGUUGCCUGUUCUUUCUGAUGGUAGUUUCUUUUGCUGUGCAGAAGCUCUUUAGUUUAAUUAGAUCCCAUUUGUCAAUUUUGGCUUUUGUUGCCAUUGCUUUUGGUGUUUUAGACAUGAAGUCCUUGCCCAUGCCUAUGUCCUGAAUGGUAAUGCCUAGGUUUUCUUCUAGGGUUUUUAUGGUUUUAGGUCUAACGUUUAAGUCUUUAAUCCAUCUUGAAUUGAUUUUUGUAUAAGGUGUAAGGAAGGGAUCCAGUUUCAGCUUUCUACAUAUGGCUAGCCAGUUUUCCCAGCACCAUUUAUUAAAUAGAGAAUCCUUUCCCCAUUUCUUGUUUUUGUCAGGUUUGUCAAAGAUCAGAUAGUUGUAGAUAUGCGGCGUUAUUUCUGAGGGCUCUGUUCUGUUCCAUUGAUCUAUAUCUCUGUUUUGGUACCAGUAUAUAACCAAAGGACUAUAAAUCAUGCUGCUAUAAAGACACAUGCACAUGUAUGUUUAUUGCGGCAUUAUUCACAAUAGCAAAGACUUGGAACCAACCCAAAUGUCCAACAAUGAUAGACUGGAUUAAGAAAAUGUGGCACAUACACACCAUGGAAUACUAUGCAGCCAUAAAAAUGAUGAGUUCGUGUCCUUUGUAGGGACAUGGAUGAAAUUGGAAAUCAUCAUUCUCAGUAAACUAUCACAAGAACAAAAAACCAAACACCGCAUAUUCUCACUCAUAGGUGGGAAUUGAACAAUGAGAACACAUGGACACAGGAAGGGGAACAUCACACUCUGGGGACUGUUGUGGGGUGGGUGGAGGGGGGAGGGAUGGCAGUGGGAGAUAUACCUAAUGCUAGAUGACGAGUUAGUGGGUGCAGCGCACCAGCAAGGCACAUGUAUACAUAUGUAACUAACCUGCAUAUUGUGCACAUGUACCCUAAAACUUAAAGUAUAAUAAAAAAAAAGUGAUACAUUAGUAUAAGUUAAAUACAAGUUAAUUUAGUUGGGAUGGCUCAAUAAUCAUUAUUACAAGUACCCAUUAAUAUAUGGCAUAUUAGUAGAUUAGUGUGUUAGAUUUUGGUUGUUUUUCUGUCUCUUCCCUAAUGUCACCCUACCUGCUAGUUGUCUUUCUGCUUGCUUCUAACAUUCCACCAUCCCUCUAGUUUGCCACUUUUAAUCUUCCCUAUGCUGGGGAAUAGAUGAAAAAAGAAUGAGAAAGAGAGAAAGAAAGAUGUAAAGUUCCAUGUUAAUUAACUAUCAAAAUGAUGUUUUCAGUACAGUUCUGGGUAAUAGAUGGCUUGGCUUGGUAUGGGGUAACAUUCAAAGACCCUCUGGGGUAAGUUCUGAUUUCACAACUGUGUUAUGGAGGAUUGGAAACUAUGCCACUCAUAGUGUCUACUCAGUUUUCCCAAUAAAUAUAUACUUAAAAAUUUGUAUAACCUAAUACAUUUGUAAAAAUCAAAUUAUAUAUCAAAAACUCCUAAGAGCUAAUUAUGUGAAGAAAUUCUGUGGGUUUUAGGAGGAAUGAAAAUAAUCACUCGUAAUGUGUUAUGUGUAAGUUCAGAAUUUUAUAUAUCAGACAUUUUUAUGUUGGGGUGGCAACAGUGGAGGGAAACACCUGCACAGACAUAGCCCAGUGAACACUGCCAUCAUUAAUUUUCAUUAUCUUGCUAACAUUAACUUCAGUAUCUGUCAAACAUGAUUAUUCAAAGAAUAUAUUCGAAAUUCUGCAGAACUUAUUUGGAAGAAAAGUAAAAAAUUUCAUCAGCACUUUUUUUUCCCCAAUGAUACUCAGUAAUUUCCAGGCUGGUUAUAAAUUAAUUAUGCAAUCAGGUUUUUUAUAUUUUAUUUAAAUUUUAUUUUCAAUUGACAAGUAAUAAUUGUAUGUAUGCAUGGGGUACAUAGUGAUAUUUUGAUACACAUAAUAUACAAUAGUCAGAUAAGAGUAACUAGCAUAUCUAUCAUCUCAAACAUUGAUCAUUUCCUUUGGUUGGGAACAUUCAAUAUCCUCCUUCUAGCUAUUUCAAACUAUAUAGUACAUUAUUGUUAACUAUACUCAUCCUGCACUAGUAUAGAACACUAGAACUUAUUCCUUCUAUCUAGCUGUAAUUUUUUAUCCUUUAACAAAUCUCUCCCUAUCCCCCUGUUCUCCGUGUCCUUCCAGUCUCUAGUACCCUCUGUUCUACUUUUUACUUCCGUGAGAUCAACUUUUUUAUUCGUAUAUGGAGACACGCACACAUACCACAUUUUCCUUAUCCAUUCGUCUGUUGUUGCACACUAAGGUUGAUUCCAUAUCUUGGCUAUUGUGAAUAGUGCUGCAAUACACAUGGCAGGAUGUCUCUUCAAUAUGCUGACUUUCUUUUCUUUGGAUAAAUGCCCAGUAGUAGGAUUGCUGACUCAUAUUGUAGUUCUAUUUUUGUUUUUUGAGGAACCUUUAUACUGAUCUCCAUAGUGGCUUUACUAGUUUACAUUCCCACCAGUGGUGUACAAGGGUUCCCUUUUCUCUGCAUCUUCUCCAGCAUUUACUUUCUGUGUUUUUGAUAAUAGUCAUCUUAACUAGGGUGAGAUGGUAACUCAUUGUGGAUUUGAUUUGCAUUUCCCUGACGAUUAGUGAUGUUGAGCAUUUUUCAUCUAUUUGCUGGCCAUUUGUAUGUCUUCUUUUGGGAAAUGUCUGUUCAGAUCAUUUGCUCACUUUUUAAAUCAGAUUGAUUGGUUUUUUGCUGUUGGUUUUCUGCUAGUAGUUUGAGUUCCUUGUGUAUUCUGAAUAUUAAUUCCCUGUCAGAAGAGUAGUUUGCAAAUAUUGUCUCCAAUUCUAUAGGUUGUCUUUUCACUCUUGAUUGUUACCUUUGCUGUGCAGAAGGUCUUUAGUUUGAUAUAAUCUCAUUUGUUUAUUUUGCUUUUGUUGCCUGUGCUUUUGAGGUCUCAUUCAUAAAAUCUUUUCCCAGACCAUUGUCUUGAAGUGUUUCCCCUAUUUUUUUCUCCUAGUAGUUUUAUAUUCAGAUCUUACAUUUAGGUCUUUGCUUCAUUUUGAGUUGAUUUUUGUAUAGGGUCAUUCAUCUGCAUAUGGAUAUCCAGUUUUUCCAGUACCGUUUGUUGAAGAGACUAUCCUUUCCCAAUGCUUUUGGCACCUUUGUCAAAAAUCAGUUGGCUGUAAAUAUGUGGAUUAAUUUCUGGGUUGUCUAUUCUGUUUCAUUGGUCUGUGUGAUUUUAGGCCGGUCCCAUGCUGUUUUGGUUACUGCAGCUUUGUAGUAUAUUUUGAAGUCUGGUAGUGUGAUGUUUCCAGCUUUGUUGUUUUUGCUCAGGUUUGCUUUGGCUCUUCAGGGUCUCUUGUGGUUCCAUUAAAAUUUUAGAAUUUUUUUCUGUUUCCGUGAAGAAUGUCAUUGGUAUUUUGAUGGGUAUUAUAUUGAAUGUGUAGAUUGCUUUGGGUAGUAUUGUUAUUUUAACAGUACUAUUAAUAAUUAUUCUGAUCUGUGAGCAUGGGAUAUCCUUCCAUUUGUUUAUAGCCUCUUCAGUUUCUUCCAUGAGCAUUUUGUAGUUUUCCCAUGAGCAUUUUAUAGUUUUCCUUAUAGAGGUAUUACCUCUUGCAAGGGUUAUGCUUUGAUGUUUAAAACUAGCAAAUCUAUGUUGUCCUUUUAUUUAGAAAUAUAAUUGCUAAUGUUGGCACAUUUUGCCAGUACUUUUUAUAAAUUUGUAUGACAUAGCUUUUCAAGUUUAAUAAUUCAGAUUAAAUUCAGCUGAUUUUCUUUCUCUUUAAGCAGCAGCUUUUUCUGCAUGGAAAACAAAAUUACUACCAUGAGGUAGAUAAUUCAGCCACAACCCCUCCCUCAUUUUCUUUCUUUGCCUUGGCUAUCUGGUUAUUUCAAGUUACAAUUUGAAAUUUUUACUUGGGUAAUUGCCUCUACUUUCUUCUUAAUAUAAGUGUUCUCUAGGAUGUUAUACUAUGGGAUUUUCUCAGAAAGCUGAAGGAUAAGAUUUAUUGGCUCUUACAGCUUAAAACCAGGCUCUAAGGAAUAUCUAGAAGACAAUUCUGUUGCCCGGGCUGGAGUACAAUGAUGUGAUCCUGGCUCACCACAAACUCCGCCUCCCAGGUUCAAGCAAUUCUCCUUGCCUCAGCCUCCUGAGUAGCUGGGAUUACAGGUGCCUGCCACCACACCUGGCUAAUUUUUGUAUUUUUAGUAGAGACAGGUUUUCACCAUGUUGGUCAGGCUGGUCUCAAACUCCUGACCUCAGGUAAUCCACCUGCCUCAGCCUCCCAAAGUGCUGGGAUUACAGGCGUGAGCCACCGUGCCAGGCCUAGAAGACAAUUCUAAAGCUUUCCUGGAUUGUGGACUCCAUUGAAAUCUGAUGAAAAUCUUCUUCCCAGAAAUGUGAGAUUAUACACAUUUUGGAUCCAUUUUCAGAGUAUUUAUGAACCCCGACCUAGGACUCUCCCAUGUAUAAGGAACAUGAAUGCUUUCCACAUCAUUGCAUACAUGGCCAUCCCAGCCUCACCAGAAUACCUCUAACAGUAGAGAAGUGUGUAAAUCAUAGAGGCAGCCUGGAAGGAAGCAGCAGUUUGAAUACAUGUAAACAAUGCUCCACAGAAUCUCUGAUGUUCCUUAGAGAUGCUCCACAGAGCACCCCAAUUGUUCAUCCAAUUUCAUUGGCCAAAUUGCUUAAUUUCUAGGUCUGUUUUUGCAUAUAAAAAGUGGAUCUCAUAAUAUCAAAGUGGCAGGAUUGAAAGAUUAAAUGUAGUACAUAUGAAAUUCCCAAAAGAGCCUCUGGUAGGGUAAGAUGUUCCCUGUAUGGAUGUUGUUGUUGUUGUUGCUGCUGCUGCCACUGCCAUGACUACUGCUGGUGCCACAUUAUUGUUAUUUAAAGUAAUUAAUUUAAUUUUACUUUCUCGCUGUGGUAGGUAUUAAAUUAUUAUUGUCUAAAGCUUCUUUCAACUUGGAUACAUUUGAAAAUAUGGUAGAUGAGAGCUUUUCAUAAUAUGUAUCAUUUAAUGUUAUUAUUGAUGUUGUGUUAGAAUGUAAUUGUCACCGGAAACUGUGGCUAAAUGUCUUAAUCAGCAUCUUAUCUUUCAGUUGUUUAUUGCUAACUGUGAGGAAACUUUUGUCUGUUCUGUCAUUAUUCACAGUGAAAACAGUCUGAAAACAGAAUAGGCAUUUUUAAUCAGUAUUGGAACCCCUGGAGAUGCUUCUAUUGAUCUCCUUAUAUUUACAUGUUCUAUAUCAUUAUAAUGCCUUUGUGUAGUUUCUAUUUGAAAUAAAAUAGUUUUGAACUACAUGUUCAGAACUGCAAUUUCUGUUUAACUGACAUAUAGAUUGACAAAAUGAUUAUGUAACAAAAGCAUAAAGAGGCAGUUCUAUCUUUAGAAAUGCAUAAUAAGAAAAAAUCUGGCCAGGUAACCCAUAUGAGGUCUUUAAUAAAAAGAGAAUAUAUUGACUUCUUGUUAAAUUGACAGCAUAAGCACAGGCCUUUAACUACCUUCCUUCAGGCCUCAUGGAAAUGAUAACUAGAAUACAAAAUAGGGCAAAAAUCUUCAAAAGCACUAGCUGUUACAGGUGAAUCCUAAAAUCUUUUUAAUAUAGGAGAGAUAGGACCACAUGGAUGGAAAGCAGGAAGGGCCAACCUGUUACUCCCACUGCUAAACAACAGUAACGAUUGUGGGAAUAACUGACUGGCAGGAACCCUGGCAGGAGGACACUCUUAAUAUGUUCUGAUUUGAAGGAGUAAUGAAUAAAGUCAAAGACAGGCUGGGGGUAGGGGGCAGACGAUCUCUUUUCACUCUUUUUUAUCUUAGUGAGUCAGUGGCAUUUGUUGAAAUCCUCAGGUUCACACAGAUUAUUUGUCAAGCAGAAGGACAACUGGGGCUUGAUCCUUUAGAAAGUGGAGACACACUUUAGAUCUGACAGACACUGGGGCAUACAGGAAGCUUUAAAUGUAAGAGGAGUUGGCACGACAGCUUCAGCACCAAAAGCCACAUCACUCUGCGCAGCCACCUCUUGUUCUAAGUCACUUUUCACCCCACUCAGACUGCUGAGUCAUCCUUAAACUCACAAUGCAAAGGUACAUUUCACCCAGAGGUUUGAGAGGGUAAUUCCAACAACAAUUUGGUCAAAUUUUAGGGCAAUCAAAGGGUCUACACAUUCUUUAAAAGGUCAAAAACCAGUUCUGAGUAGAGAGCUCUCUAAAUUCAAGCUUUUAUGAAUAAAAAUGUAUAACAUAUAUAAUGUGUAUAUAUACACACACAUCUCAUUCAGGCUAUUCUAGCUCUUAUAAACAAAUGCAUACAUAUACAUAUAAAUAUAUGAUUGUGAAAAGGUCCACAAAUAAAGCCAGGAAAUACAGCUCUCAAGAUUCAUAGUGGACUUCAGGAUCAAGAUAGAAGAGGGAUCUCAUGCUAAAACCUUCCCAUUCUGCUCUUACACAUAGAAAUGACAUUUUAAAUUGUGUGUGUGUGUGUGUGUCUGUGUGUGUGUGUGUGUGUGUGUGUGUGUGUGUGUGUGUUUAGAUAAAAAACAAGAAAGGAAUAUCACCCUGCAUCAGAAACAAUAUGAAACUAUCAUGAUAAGUAGGAUUUUAAGCUUCAGAGAUUUCACAGAAUUGAGAUCAGCAAUUGGAGCUAAGGUUUCUACACCCAAGAGGCCCUAAAUGAUGCCUAAGCAAAGGAAGCAAGGAGCGGGAAUCCUUCUGUAGAGAAUAUACUUUAUUUUCUUAAAUUGCUCAUGUAUUAGGCAUUUUAAAAAAUCCCUCCAGUUUAUGAGCCAUCUGGGCCUGCCACUAAUUAAAGUUGAAAGUAAACAUUUCAUCCACUACAGGUGGGGAAUAUAAAUUGGCAUGACAUCCUUGGGAAUCCGUUUUGCAGUAUAUAUCAAGAGCUUUUUAAAUAUCCAUUUGGAAGGUUUUUUUGAAAGUUAAAAUGUUUUUAAUGGUCAUAUAUUCUCACUCAAUAAUCCCACCUGUUACUAUUUUUUUUGCAAAAAAGAUGUGUAUAAGUAUAUACAUGUAUUUUUAUUACUGCAUUUCUUAUACAGAUUGAACAUCCCAAAUCUGAAAUCCCAAAUUUGAAAUGCCCCAAAAUCCAAAACUUUUGAGUGCAGAUAUGGCCCCAGAAGUGGAAAAUUUCACACCUGACCUCAUGUGAUGGGUGGUAGUCAAAACACAGGAGCAUAACACAGUUUAUUCAGCGUCCCCAAGAGAAAAAAAACUAACAAAACAAAACAAAACACCCUCCCAGCCCACUUCAGCUUUGAUAUAUUUUUUUCUGAGCAAGCAUGAUGGUGAUGCCAAACAACCACAGAUUGUCCACAUGGGUGACCAGAAUAGUGACACCUUUACUUUCUGAUGGUUCAAUGAUCACAAGUUUGGUUCACGCACAGAAUUGUGACCAGAAUAGUGACACCUUUACUUUCUGAUGGUUCAAUGAUCACAAAUUUGGUUCACGCACAGAAUUGUUACAAAUAUUCUAUAAAAGCUGUGUAAAAGGUGCUUAUGAAACAAAUGAAUUGUAUGUUGUAGUCUUGGGUCCCAUUCCUAAGGUACCUCAUUAUGUAUAUGCAAGUAUUCCAAAAUCCAAAAUACUUCUGGUCCAAGCAUCUCAGAUAAGGGUACUCAACCUGUAAUAUCAAAAAUAUGGAUGUUACCAUUAUUCUAACGGAAGUAACUCAGGAAUGGAAAGCCAAACAUCAUUAUCUUUUCACUUAUAAGUGGGAGCUAAGAUAUGAGGACGCAAAGACUAAGAAUGACACAAUGGACUCUGGGGACUUAGUAGGAAGGCUGGGAGGGGGUUAAGGGAUAAAAGACUACACAUUGGGUGCAGUGUACACUGCUCAAGUGAUGGCUGCACCAAAACCUCAGAAAUCACACCUAAAGAACUUAUCCAUGUAACCAAACACCACCUGUUCCCCCAAAACUAUUGAAAUAACAAUAAAUAAAUAAAUGAAAUGAAAUACAUAACAUUUUGAAAAUAUUUCUAUUAACAGUAAAAAAAGUCCUAAUUUCUCUCAGUAAAGAAAGAUUAUGAUUUUGUAUUUUAUUAACAACCAUGUAAUUUAGUAGGUCUCAUUACUCUGAAAAAUCUUUGGCAUAUUAUUUUAGGCAACAAAAGAAAUGGAUGUUCAACUUUUACAGGUUGAUUCAAUAACUAUGUUAUUUUUACUCAACCAAUUGAAAAAUAAGACUGUCAAGCAGUGACCAUCUGAUUGCAUGUAUUUGUCUGUGCAAGUCUCCUGCAUCACUUCAGAUGUUCCUAUCUGAAAUCAGCAAUAUAUUACCUUUUAAGAAGAAUAACUAUUUGUUGAGUGUCUACAAUGGGCCAGACCCUAGGAUAACAACACAAACAAGGCCCUUGCUAUCAAGCUGCUUAGGUAAAUUGUAGUGGGCAGAGAUGGACAAGCAAGUUCACAAAUAAAUAGAAAACGUAAUUGUAGACAGUGAUGAGUGUUAUGCACAUAAUAAAACCAGAUUAUGUAUUAGGAAAGAUGAGUAAGUGGAGAUGCUACAUUAGAUUAAUUGACAAAUAAGUCUUCUUUGAAGAGGUAACAUUGCAUCCCAGACUCAGCCAGGAACAAAAACUAUGGGAAGGACCUUUCAGGCCCAGUACAAAUGCUGUGAGAUAGGAACAAACUUGACAUACUUGAGGGACAGGAAAAAAAAAAAAAAAAAAGCCAGUGUAU